GCAAGUGCCAAGGUCCCGAGGCACAGAAGAGCUCGGAGCUUCCCAGCCCAGAAAUAGAGCCAGUGUGUGGAAGGGUAGUAGACAAGGUGAAAUCAGAGGUUCGUGACUGACCUGCCUAGGUGCUUUGAACCGAGAAAGAAGGACAAGAUAAAAGCCCAAGCCAAUCAGUCAUGUUAUACCCAGCCUACAGAGGGGGAAACCGAGGUCCAGUCAUCCACCCGGGACUGCACAGUUAAUUAAUUAGCGAGGGAGCCAGGAUGCAAAGCCAGAGCUGGCACCGGCGCUGUGAUCUCUUUCCAUUCCGAGUGACAGCGAAUCGUCACAGUUGCCCGGUGCACCGUGCAUCAGUGUUCCUGCCGCCUGCUCUUCAGACGCAUGGGUCCGAGGCGGGACACAGAUGUCUUGCAUUUUGCAGGGAGAACCAUCAGCCUCUUUCUUCAACCCAGGAUUCAUCAUGUCGCUUUCUGACUGAAAACAAACAAACGCAAAACCUUCCAUGGAUUUCCAUCGAUCAU